GACGAACGCUGGCGGCGUGCUUAACACAUGCAAGUCGAACGGAAAGGCCCCUUUGGGGGUACUCGAGUGGCGAACGGGUGAGUAACACGUGAGUAACCUGCCCUUGACUUCGGGAUAACUUCAGGAAACUGGGGCUAAUACCGGAUAGGAAUCCUUGCUGCAUGGUGGGGGUUGGAAAGCUUCGGCGGUUUUGGAUGGACUCGCGGCUUAUCAGCUUGUUGGUGGGGUAGUGGCUUACCAAGGCUUUGACGGGUAGCCGGCCUGAGAGGGCGACCGGCCACAUUGGGACUGAGAUACGGCCCAGACUCCUACGGGAGGCAGCAGUGGGGAAUAUAGCACAAUGGGCGGAAGCCUGAUGCAGCAACGCCGCGUGCGGGAUGACGGCCUUCGGGUUGUAAACCGCUUUCAGCAGGGGCGAAGCUUUUGUGACGGUACCUGCAGAAGAAGCACCGGCUAACUACGUG
rnacentral:rRNA from 1 species